rfam:Ictidomys tridecemlineatus contig101492, whole genome shotgun sequence.
UGUGUUGUGGCUCAGUGGUAGAACACUCGCCUAGCACAUGUGAGGCUUUGGGUUCAAUCCUCAGCACCACAA